CGCACGCAAUGUGACUGCAGAUGCAUUUACUUGGUCUUCGGUGCAUCCGCCAAUUUUUCAGAUUUCUUCGCCUCCUUCCCCCCCCCCCCCGUCCAGAAUUCAUGAAAAGCCAGUCGAAAAUUACGCCAUACGCUGCAGAUUAGGUUGGAAAUGAAUUUAAUGAACAAGGAAGAACCGAAGGACUUUGAGAAACACAGCUAAGGAUUAUCGCAAGAUAAAGCUGGACAAGAAGAUAAAGGAAGAAGGGUUUUUAAAAGAAUAAAAUUAGAAGUAUUUCAAGGAGGAAUUAAAUGAUAUAUGAACAGGAUAAAAUUUCGCAUUCCUAUGUACAGACAUCUUUAGGGUGACUUCCUUUCGUAAGAAACAGCCUUGGCCUACAGACCAAAGUUAUACAUGUAUAAAACGACAAAUAUUCAAAUUUAUAUGUAGCAGAUAUAGAUGUGAGUGAGUAAAGAUUUGCACUCUGUCCACAAGGCGCUCUUCUAAAUUACCGGGAAAAGGUCGGCAUCGUCGAAAUCUCCUGCAUUUUCAGGAGACAUUUUCACGUAUAAUGAUUAGCAUGUAAAGUGCUAUCACUAUUUUAUCACACCGUUUUCUGGGAAAUAUUGCUAAUAACCAAGCGACCAUGAAAAUUCUGGUAAAACUCCGAAAGUCAUAUCAUGCGAUAUUUCUACUUAGCAUAUCGAGAAUAGUUCGUUGAAACAUAAAAGGCAGCUGGUGCAUUUUACAUGUCGUAAUUCAGAGACAUCUGCGUAUCCCGCUAUGGAAAUAGAGAGCAAUUUUAUGUAAUCCAGUAACAGAAAAUAAGCUGAACUUUCAGCUGUGUUCUGCGAGAUCCCGACUGCAUGAGGAAUAAUAAACGGUAUAAAUUAAUUUCCUAUAUAUUUAUCAAUACAGCAGUUACCUGAU